AGAAGAGUAUUUAAAUUAAAUAAAAUCUAAUUUGCAAUUAGAAAUUGAGUUGUUCCUUUUCUG
rnacentral:tRNA from 1 species